UUUGCUUCCAGCUUUUGUCUCC
rnacentral:siRNA from 1 species